UCAUUUUCUGAAAAGUUAUCAAAUUUAGUUUUAGGAGCUGUGGUUCUUUUGUAUCACCACUGUUAGUAUGCGGUGGAUAUCCAGAUUAGUGUAGGUUGAGGUUACGCUCGUGCUGGGAUGCCGAGUUCGUCUUACAGUAGUGCGUAGACUGUUUCAGAUUGUCGAGUAUCGUUGCGGUUGACGGUGGACCCAGAUUUAUGUAUUUUGCAUCAGAUUAUGCGAUGGGCACGUGAG
rnacentral:lncRNA from 1 species